rnacentral:rRNA from 1 species
UGAGGAAUAUUGGUCAAUGGGCGUGAGCCUGAACCAGCCAAGUCGCGUGAGGGAAGACUGCCUUAUGGGUUGUAAACCUCUUUUGUCGGGGAGCAAAGCUGCCACGUGUGGCGGUUUGAGAGUACCCGAAGAAAAAGCAUCGGCUAACUCCGUGCCAGCAGCUGCGGUAAUACGGAGGAUGCGAGCGUUAUCCGGAUUUAUUGGGUUUAAAGGGUGCGUAGGCGGACGAUCAAGUCAGCGGUCAAAUGUCGGGGCUUAACCCCGGCCGUGCCGUUGAAACUGGUUGUCUUGAGUGAGCGAGAGGUAUGCGGAAUGCGUGGUGUAGCGGUGAAAUGCAUAGAUAUCACGCAGAACCCCGAUUGCGAAGGCAGCAUACCGGUGCUCAACUGACGCUGAUGCACGAAAGCGUGGGGAUCAAACAGGAUUAGAUACC